CCUACGGGGCGCUGCAGUGGGGAAUAUUGGACAAUGGGCGAAAGCCUGAUCCAGCCAUGCCGCGUGUGUGAAGAAGGCCUUCGGGUUGUAAAGCACUUUCAGUGGGGAAGAAAGCCUUGGGGCUAAUACCCUCGAGGAAGGACAUCACCCACAGAAGAAGCACCGGCUAACUCCGUGCCAGCAGCCGCGGUAAUACGGAGGGUGCGAGCGUUAAUCGGAAUUACUGGGCGUAAAGCGCGCGUAGGCGGUCUGAUAAGCCGGUUGUGAAAGCCCCGAGCUCAACCUGGGAACGGCAUCCGGAACUGUCAGGCUAGAGUGCAGGAGAGGAAGGUAGAAUUCCCGGUGUAGCGGUGAAAUGCGUAGAGAUCGGGAGGAAUACCAGUGGCGAAGGCGGCCUUCUGGACUGACACUGACGCUGAGGUGCGAAAGCGUGGGUAGCAAACAGGAUUAGAUACCCCAGUAGUC
rnacentral:rRNA from 1 species